rnacentral:rRNA from 1 species
AGCGUACUGAGUGUCGUAGCUAACGCGAUAAGUAUUCCGCCCCGGGAAGUUACGGCCGCAAGGUUAAAACUCAAAGGAAUUGAACGGGGGCCCGCACAAGCGGUGGAGCAUGUGGUUUAAUUCGAUGCAACGCGAAGAACCUUACCUGGGCUUGACAUGUCUGGAAAUCCUGCAGAGAUGCGGGAGUGCCCUUCGGGGAAUCAGAACACAGGUGCUGCAUGGCUGUCGUCAGCUCGUGUCGUGAGAUGUUGGGUUAAGUCCCGCAACGAGCGCAACCCUUGUCCUUAGUUGCCAGCGGUUCGGCCGGGCACUCUAGGGAGACUGCCGGUGACAAACCGGAGGAAGGUGGGGAUGACGUCAAGUCCUCAUGGCCUUUAUGUCCAGGGCUACACACGUGCUACAAUGGCGCGUACAGAGGGAAGCCAAGCCGCGAGGUGGAGCAGACCCCAGAAAGCGCGUCGUAGUUCGGAUUGCAGUCUGCAACUCGACUGCAUGAAGUCGGA